rnacentral:rRNA from 1 species
GAUGAACGCUGGCGGCGUGCCUAAUACAUGCAAGUCGAGCGAACAGACGAGGAGCUUGCUCCUCUGACGUUAGCGGCGGACGGGUGAGUAACACGUGGAUAACCUACCUAUAAGACUGGGAUAACUUCGGGAAACCGGAGCUAAUACCGGAUAACAUGUUGAACCGCAUGGUUCAACAGUGAAAGACGGUCUUGCUGUCACUUAUAGAUGGAUCCGCGCCGCAUUAGCUAGUUGGUAAGGUAACGGCUUACCAAGGCAACGAUGCGUAGCCGACCUGAGAGGGUGAUCGGCCACACUGGAACUGAGACACGGUCCAGACUACUACGGGAGGCAGCAGUAGGGAAUCUUCCGCAAUGGGCGAAAGCCUGGCGGAUCAACGCCGCGUGAGUGAAGAAGGUCUUCGGAUCGUAAAACUCUGUUAUUAGGGAAGAACAAAUGGGUAAGUAACUAUGCACGUCUUGACGGUACCUAAUCAGAAAGCCACGGCUAACUACGUG